AUUGAACGCUGGCGGCAGGCCUAACACAUGCAAGUCGAACGAGCGGCGGACGGGUGCGUAAUGUCUGGGGAACUGCCCGAUAGAGGGGGAUAAAUACUGGAAACGGUGGCUAAUACCGCAUACUAUCGGAUGAACCCAUAUGGGAUUAGCUAGUAGGUGUGGUAAAGGCUCACCUAGGCGACGCUCUCUAGCUGGGCUGAGAGGAGGAUCAGCCACACUGGAACUGAGACACGGCCCAGACGCCGACGGUAGGCAGCAGUGGGGAAUAUUGCACAAUGGGGGCAAUCCUGAUGCAGCCAUGCCGCGUGUAUGAAGAAGGCCUUAGGGUUGUAAAGUACUUUCAGCGGGGAGGCGUUACCCGCAGAAGAAGCACCGGCUAACUCCGUGCCAGCAGCCGCGGUAAUUC
rnacentral:rRNA from 1 species